GUGAGGAAUAUUGCGCAAUGGAGGCAACUCUGACGCAGCCAUGCCGCGUGCAGGAAGAAGGCGCUACGCGUUGUAAACUGCUUUUAACCGGGAAGAAACCCCAGGACGUGUCCUGGGUUGACGGUACCGGAGGAAUAAGCACCGGCUAACUUCGUGCCAGCAGCCGCGGUAAUACGAAGGGUGCAAGCGUUAUCCGGAUUCAUUGGGUUUAAAGGGUGCGUAGGCGGAGCGUUAAGUCAGUGGUGAAAUCCUGCAGCUUAACUGUAGACUUGCCAUUGAUACUGGCGCGCUUGAGUGCGCUUGAAGUGGGCGGAAUGUGCCGUGUAGCGGUGAAAUGCUUAGAUAUGGCACAGAACACCAAUUGCGAAGGCAGCUCACUAAGGCGAUACUGACGCUGAGGCACGAAAGCGUGGGGAUCGAACAGGAUUAGAAACCCGAGUAGUCC
rnacentral:rRNA from 1 species